UGGGGAAUAUUGGACAAUGGGGGCAACCCUGAUCCAGCAAUUCUGUGUGCACGAAGAAGGUUUUCGGAUUGUAAAGUGCUUUCAGCAGGGAAGAAGAAAGUGACGGUACCUGCAGAAGAAGCGACGGCUAAAUACGUGCCAGCAGCCGCGGCAAUACGUAUGUCGCAAGCGUUAUCCGGAAUUAUUGGGCAUAAAGGGCAUCUAGGCGGCCCUGUAAGUCUAGGGUGAAAACCUGCGGCUCAACCGCAGGCCUGCCCCGGAAACUACAAGGCUAGAGUAUCGGAGAGGUGGACGGAACUGCACGAGUAGAGGUGAAAUUCGUAGAUAUGUGCAGGAAUGCCGAUGAUGAAGAUAGUUCACUGGACGGUAACUGACGCUGAAGUGCGAAAGCUAGGGGAGCAAACAGGAUUAGAUACCCUGGUAGUCCUAGCUGUAAACGAUGAUUACUGGGUGUGGGCAUGAAGAGUGUCCGUGCCGAAGCAAAUGCGAUAAGUAAUCCGCCUGGGGAGUACGGCCGCAAGGCUG
rnacentral:rRNA from 1 species